rnacentral:lncRNA from 1 species
AUGUGUGUUAUCUAAUUGUAAACUUGAUGCUGAUCACAUUUUUAUGUAUGUUAUAUGAUGUAGCAGAUUGCUUCCUGCUGUUAUUUGAAAUAUUGUGUUUGUUUUUUGUAUUUGCUUAUUGAAAUAUGAAAGAACAUGACCUUAACAGUAGGGUCCCACAAACUAGAACGUCGCAUUUGGGACCCACUUACUAGAAUUUGACAAUUGUCAUGCAUUAAAAAAAGAGAAACAAAGGCUACGGCCCAAAGAUAAAAAGGCUAUAAUGUUGGGCUAGGCCCAUGAAAUCGACCAAAAAUUGACACAAAAAUAUAUAUAGAAAGCCUGAAUUAAUGGGCUUGGCCCAUCUAAAGCACCGAAAUGGAUCGGGCUGAUUCUAAGUAAAGACCUUUUCAAUUGGUCGUAAUUUUGCCACGUCGGAUCUGACGUGGCCUGGGCAAACAGCUAGUGACCAAAACAAAAUAGUAGGCAUAUUUUGGUCGUAAACGUCUAUGACCUUCUCUGUGAGAAGGUGGCUAAUUUCAGUUUACGACUGCCAGCUUUUGACCUUCUGUUUUUGGUCAAAAAAAGGUCGCAAAUGAAAUACAAUGACCUUUUAGCGGCUAAUAGUGAGGGUCACAAGUUGACAUAUUUCUUGUAGUGCACCUCCACCGUCCUCCCCUCAUCCCCGCGAGCCUCUCGGACCCCUCAUCUCUCACCGGAGGGCCCUGCUCCGACGAGCACCUCCGCCACCAGCCGCCCCUGCCAACUCUCGGGUCCUCCUCCGCCUCGUGCCCUCCACUCCUCCCUGGCGGUCAUCAUUCCUCUGAACGGGUGCAGUGCAGCCAUACGGUCCCGCCGGUGCCCUCAGCCGGGCCGGGGAUCGCCGGAGCUGCCCGGCCCCUUGGCCGUUUCCCUCCUCUGCUUUUGUUCUGUUCUGCUCGAGAACGAACAAGAGCAAGGGGAGGAGGAAGACGAUGCCUUGCCAGCUGGCCAGGCACCCCCACCUCUCCAACGGACCCCACCCGUAAGUGAGCCACCACCUUAUCCACUCGGAUAAGCGGAAACAUUUUCUUGAAAUACGUUUUCUCAGCUCUGAAAAUGUAUUUCUUUUCUUCUCUGGGCCUAAUACAUUUUCUCUUCUGAAAAACGUAUUCUCUUCUACUGCGGCCAAGAAUGUGCUUUCUCUGCUCAGAAAGUGUAUUUUCUAAUAUUCACCUCUGCCUUAUCCACUCAGGGACCCGUUGGUGAUGAAAAUAAUCAUAGAUUGGUCCCUGAUCUUCUACACCUCAUAACUCUGCAACCGUAACUCUGAUGGAGGUGAAACCAGCGCUCACUUCUUCGUCUCGUCGAACUCUAUCUUUUGGUAGCAUUUUAAUUAGGUGGCCUUACUAUGAAAAUGACCAUUAUGCCCUUGCCUCUAAUCAUCCCCCCCUCCGAGAAAGAACCGCCCGACGUUUCGUUCCGCGGCUUCACCGCACUUCUUUCCGGACUCUCCGUCACCCCAAAGCAAGCCACAACAACCACUUGCAUGAUAGUCAUGCAGUUGCCAUGGUUUUGAACUUGAAUAUUUAAUAAAUGUCUGCUUGUUUUGAUACGGUUAUCUUUGUUUCGGUGAUGCUUAUAGAUCUGUGUUCACUUUCAUGCUAUGCUCUUGUGCAUCUUGUUAUCUUGCACUUAUUAAUGGUAUUAUUGUUAUAUGUCAUGCUUGAUAGUAGUAGCAGUGUGUUCUCUCUAAUGCAUGUUUCCGAUCUGUUAUCUGGUGACGUAGCUUUGUAUGUUACUAUGUAUCCCGUUGAUUAUAUGCUUACUUGGUAGUAAUCUGGAUAAGUUCUUGCAUGGUAAUUAUUUAUUAUGCUAGUGGUCAUGAUAUGCUCAUGUGUAAUGUUAUGCUUGUUAGCUUACCAUGCUCCUUUGGUUAAUGUUUCAUUAUGGCUAUCCUCGAUGAUUAUGAUGUACUCCCAUGCUUAUGUUGAUUCAUGCUCAUGCAUUGUAGUUGCAUCAUGCUAUUUUAAUAUGGCUCAGCUUAUUGCAUUCAAGUUAACCGGACUUAAUUGAACUUGAACAACUGUUGGCUAAGUCAUGGUGCCACCAUAUCAAGUUGAACAGUGCAACCACACUUACCUUUAUGGGAGGGUCCAAACUGGGUCUAUUGUCGUGCCUCUCGCCGGUGCCUCCAACGAGGUAAGGUUAUGGCGCGCGCUACCCUGAUCAGGUAGGCGAACAUAAGCUUUGUGUGCCCGUAGUUUUUUUUAGGUGCCUUUUGUCCCCGUUUGGGACUGUUUAUGUUUUUGCCACGACGGUGGCCGUUGGUGCCUUUGGUAGGCACGGGGCCGCCCAGGACUGAACCCUGAGGGGGUGUUGGUCAGAGUGGCCGGGAGAGUGUCAUGGCAGUAGGACGGUUUUGUAGGAACGCCGUUGGUCCACCCAAAUGGGAGUGCAAGGCCAUGGGUUCCGUGGUGUGGGUAGAGUGUGCUAACCUCUGCAGAGUGUGUAUUAAAUCUAUCAAUAGUCGUGCCCGCGGAUAAGGGCCCAGUUCAUGUCGGUCACAGUAUGGGUCAAUAGUAAUAAUAAUAAUGAGGUGCUUAAUAACAACCCCGGUUCGAUGAUGAGAUAAGUCGGUUCUGUGAUCCAUGAAUGAUCAUUGUUUGGUUAUGAGGUAACCCGUUGAGCCAAGAAUGGUUCCGCUUGUGAUCGUGAGAUGAUCAUCGUGGUAUCGAGGAUACCAAGUUGAUAAGUAUUCGUGGUGUUGUGCGAGAAUCGUGGGUAAAGAUCAAGCUCCUUGUGGUCAUUUGAUGAUUACUAUGGCAUUGUUUAUACCAAGCUUGAUUUCCUGGGAUGAUCGUGUAAUGUCUGAGGAUGGUAGUAAUGCAUGUGAUGGUUACAAGGUAACUCGAGCAGAAUAAGUGGCGCAUAUAGUGUCAUCAUGUUGCAUGCUAGUAUCGUCAAAUUUAUAUGUUCAUGCCACACUCAUAUUGUUCUAGUGGUAUUAUGUUCAUGUUGUUCAUGCCAUGUUAUCCUAAUGAUCUCAUGAUAAUUCCUGCUUAACCUGUAAUUGCCAUGAUGUUGUUUGUCUUCAAUGCUUCUGGCUAUUGUGAGCUUGCAAGUACAUUCAAUGUACUGACCUAGCGUGUCAUGGCAGUUUGCAGGUCGUGCCUGGAUUUCUUGCUUGUUUUGUGUCGUUCCUGUGUUCGCGAGCUAGGAUAAACAUUCCAGCCAGAAUCCCUGCGGAUUGGAGUCCAUCAUUGCCGCUGCCAGUAUUUGUCCCGCUGCAUCAACUUGUUACGCUGCUUGCAUAGAGCAAUUGAGGAUGGCAUAGGGUCGCCGUGCCGAUGUUAUUCAUUGUAGUAUCAGAGAACUUGUAUUCAUAUUUAUGUAAUAAUAGAAAGCUAGUUUGUUCUAUGCUAAGUAGUGUCGUAUUCCAGAAGCCUUCACCUCGAUCUCUGGGCUGGAAUACGAGGCGUUCCGGUUUUCUCUGAGCCGGGGUGCCACAUUUAGGACCGUCGGCAAGUGAGUGUGUGCGAUAGGGUGUCCUUGCCACACGACCCAGAAAUCGUCAGGGAUAUGGAGCAGUGAUCCAGAGGCCUUACAAAAUGUAAUCAUGUGCGAUGCAGCACACAAUAAAUUCUUUCGCACGUGUGGUAUUGGUACUUAAGCAUUUCUAAUGACGCAGUGAAACCAUACGGUCUGUCGUAAUGAACCAUUUGGGAAACAAUAUGUAAGGCACAUAUGCCAAAAUAUGAACUGUGUAUGAUUUGUGCCCCAUCGCACACGAGUUUUCCGUGUAACAUGUCUGCCAUUCUAGACUCCACACACGUUUGCCAACAAUUACUGUCUGCGAAAAUGUUCUAUCCCAAAUGGUUUAGGAGCCCCUUCGGACACAUACAAGUGUUGCGGACCGUUUGUGAUUUGUUGGGUAUCACCAACGGUUGCCGCAAGAGUGGCGUGUGCUUUUCGUUUGGGAUCCCACACAAUUCCUGAAAAAAUUAUGACUGGGAUUGUAUUUUGCAUUGGGCACAGUUUACUCCCAAUUCUCGUGUGUGAUAACGCGAUAUCACAAACGGUUCCAGAGACCCUACGCACAGGUAGUUGCAAAUCGUUUAGUUGAACCGUGUGUAUCACCAACGGUGCCGCUACGAUUAACGUAUGCUUUCCGAUGUGGAUCCACACACUCAUUUAGUUGAACCGUGUGCGGAGCAAUUGCCAGGUUAAAACAAAAAUAUCCCAGUUUGAAUCGGCAUGCAAAAAGCAAAUUUGCUACAAUAUUCAAUUGAACAAAUAAAAAAAUAUCACAUUUUGAAUUGGCACGCAAAAAGCAAAGAACAAAUAGUGUCCACAGGAAGAACAUUCAUCAGAUUUCGCAACAAUUGCAAUUGAACAUGUGGUAGCUAAAUUCCAAUGAUUUGUCCACACAUAUAUGCAUUACAUAAUUAAUCAUAGUGUACAAAAUACGAAGACCUCAUCAGAUGGAAAACAAUGGAUCCAUGUGUUAUAUGUUUAGCGACUAACUCUUACUCAAUGUUUCAGAAGAAGGCGUGCUUAAAUCUUCAUUAUCACUAGUGGGAUUGAUGUAGUGAUCCAGGAAAAAGUCGCUGAUAAAUCUCUGAACCAUCAGCAAUUCACCAGACGGGAGAGGUUCAGGGGUCGUCGGUUUUAAGAUGAGUUGCAGUAUUUUUAAGAUCAGAAUGUGCCAUACGAGUAGAGUAGAAGAUAUUAAUUAAGAUAGACUUACUGGUACUAAUGCGAGGAUCAUCACAACUAUCAGCAGAUUUGCAGAUGGAGAUCAUGUGUUUGCAAACAUAGUAUCCACAAAGAUUGGUCCCUGCUUCUUGCUGAGGACACUGAAAUUUUUUGUACAAAAUUAGUCAUGUAUUUGUACUGUUAGGAACAACCUAACUGGUGUUAGAUGUAUUAUUUUUUUCUUUGGACAAAAUAGAAAGAGGUUUAUUUAGAAGCUUGAACAUUUGACUAGCGUAAGGAAAGGUAUUUGCAGACGGUUGGAUAAAUUUUCCGAAAAUAACGGAUUUCGGUGUGUUACUGGAGAAACGGUCUCGUGUUGCAGAGGUAGUUCCCUCUUGAACAGGUUCCCUGGUGUAGUUUUCCACAAUGAGAGCACACAACAAAUGAUGAUGAAUUUUGACAACAUCAAUUAUUGAACCAGAUAUGAAUGCAAAUUAAUUUCAACAUCAUAGAAUUCAAUACCUAUCCAUGAAUUGUUGAAGAUGCGUCAGAUCUUGAGCGUUUGUUGACCCUCUGAGAGAAACGAUGUAGUAAAUGGUGUUCUUGUUUGGAACAAUGAAUACCAAUAUCCAGUGAUCGCUACAUAUUAAGAAAGCCAUGAACUUACAAAUUAUGUCGAAAUCUGAAACACAAUAAGUGUAUGCGCGGUUGUUUACUUCACUUACCAUUCAUGAUAUGGCUAGAGAAUCGAUUCCGCAUGGGACAUGUUUUCGAAGAGACGGACGGCCAUGUUAACGGCCCAGUCCUGUAGGUCCUUAGCAUGUAUUGUUGUGCCAUUUGCUAAUUCAGGAUCUAUGAAAUAUACACCCUCCCUUUUUCUUCUCUUCAUGUUCAAUCCCCUAAGAGGAAUAAAAUGCAGUUAGCUCUUUAUCAUUUAUAGCCUUGUAUGGAGAAGUUGAUCAUAGUUUGUAAAGUACUUACAAAAUCAGGCAUCUAACAAGAGUGGCAUCGAGCACGUUGAAGUUGAAGAAGACAUGUAAGUCCUCGAAACUCACAUUGAUGGAACUAGCACUACAAGAAAUAUGUCAACUUGUGACCCUCACUAUUGUCCACUAAAAGGUCAUUGUUUUUCAUUUGCGACCUUUUUUGACCAAAAACAGAAGGUCAAAAGCUGGCAGUCAUAAAAUGAAAUUAACGACCUUCUCACAGAGAAGGUCAUAGACGUUUACGACAAAAAUAUGCCUACUGUUUUGUUUUGGUCACUAGCUGUCUGCCCAGGCCACAUCGGAUCCGACGUGGCAAUCUGACGUGGCAAAAUUAUGACCAAUUGAAAAGGUCAUUACUUAGAAUCAGCCCGGUCCAUUUCGGUGCUUUAGAUGGGCCGAGCCCAUUAAUUCAGCCUUUCUAUGUAUUUUUUUUGUGUCAAUUUUUGGUCGAUUUCAUGGGCCUAGCCCAACAUUAUAGCAUUUUUAUCUUUGGGUCGUAGCCUUUGUUUCUCUUUUUUUAAUGCAUGCCAAUUUUCAAAUUCUGGUAAAUGGGUCCCAAAUGUGACAUUCUAGUUUGUGGGACCCUACUAUCAAGGUCAUGUUCUUUCAUACUUCAAUAUGCAAAUACAAAAAACAGACACUAUUUCAAAUAACAGCAGGAAGCAAUCUGCUACAUCAUAUAACAUACAUAAAAAUGUGAUCGGCAUCAAGUUUACAAUUAGAUAACACACACACAACCCAAGUGUAUCAGCCCAAGUCUAUCACAGGAGCCCUACAAGUUCUGCUACAUCAUAUAACACACAAAUAGGAUCAGCUCCCAGAACUAGCACACGUACAAGUUCUGCUACAAGGAGUUCGUUACUCCUAGAACUAGCUCAAUGAGGUAAAACUAUGCUUCAUCCAACUUCUUUGUCCUGAAUGAAAUGCCAGCAUCUGCACAUUGUAGAACAAAAUGUUUAGGGAUAAAAUAAAAGUAAAUCGAACAACAAAGUAUCAAAAAAACCAAAGUAUUAAAAACUGCAGUAAUUUACUCGUAGUUGGCAGGUACACAAUACCAUGGUUUUAACAUAAAAUACAGAGCAAGUGUUUGGCUACAACGUAGA